rnacentral:misc_RNA from 1 species
UUUCCGUAGGUGAACCUGCGGAAGGAUCAUUAUUGUAUAACCGAGGUGCAAGGCCUGUCGCUGACCCGAAAGGUCGUGCACGCCCGAGUGCCCUCACACACAUCCAUCUCACCCCUAUCUGCACCACCGCGUGGGUCCCCCUUUGGCUUGUUCGGAGGGGUGCUUACGUUUUCACACAAACUUUGUAUGACGUGUAGAAUGUAUUUUUUGUUUUUGCGAUCACGCAAUCAAUACAACUUUCAACAACGGAUCUCUUGGCUCUC